AGACAGGGAAUAGGGUGAUGAAAUCUCAUCAGAAAAGCACGUUGACGGUUUAUUUUAACCAGGAUUCUUGCGAUUGGAUCAGAGCUGCUGAGGACCAGCAGGGGCUCACUAGAGAACAUAAGCACAAUUUCAUCCCCACGAUUUCUGAUACCCACCCCAACACAGCCUCAUGUUCUAAAUGCUGCAGACAAGAAUCCUGCCGUGUCCCGCAGACGGCGCCCGAGAGUGGAGUCCUGGCCUGCUGUGGUUGGUCACGUCCAAGCCACCCAGUGUCCUGCCAGUCUGGGGACAUGUCACUGUCUUCAGAGAAGUGCCUCUCAUCUCUGAGAGUUGUUGACCUACAUGUUGUGUUUAAACCAACUUAAAUAAUCCAAGGUUUAAAAAAAAAAAAGUGUAGAGAAAGUUAAGAACACCUGCAGGUUUAGAAUCAGUUAACAGAAAAAGUUGUAAAAACAUCCAAGAACAGACUGCAAAAACCUGUCCGUGUUAGCCAAGGUUCCUUAGGCUGAGACUAUUUCUCAACUCUGUAAGGACCACGCCGGCUGAAGGUUCAUGACUGACGGGCAGGGCAGAGCGGGUGCCGGUGUCGACACAGACAGGGGCAUCGUUGGUCUCAUGGCAGCGACGGGCUGAAAGGAGGAAGGCUUGUCCUGGUUCCCAAGCCAGUAGGCUAGUUUCCAGAAAGACGGAACAGUCUCUACCUUUCAUGAUUCAAAUACUGUCUGUUUUCUCUUACUAUUUCACUUACUCAAGUAGUUAAAAAUAGAGAACUCUAGGUGGUACUGUGUUUCAAGGUCACAGAGAGGCAGUAUUUAUGAUUUAUUCAUGUCCGUAUACAGAGGCCCAUUUCAAAUGGCCUGACCCCAUCGAGCAUGUUUGUUAUUUCUCUUAUAAUUAUUGUAUGCUUGGUUUUGUACCCAAUAAAAUGAAACAUGUCUAAG